GUGCCAGCAGCCGCGGUAAUACCAGCCCCGCGAGUGAUCGAGACGUUUAUUGGGCUUAAAGCGCCCGUAGCCGGCCCGUAAAGUCGCCGUUUAAAGACCCGAGCUCAACUCGGGGAGUGGCGGUGAUACUUACGGGCUAGGGGGCGGGAAAGGUCGGAGGUACUCCCGGAGUAGGGGCGAAAUCCUCAGAUCCCGGGAGGACCACCAGUGGCGAAAGCGUCCGGCUAGAACGCGCCCGACGGUGAGGGGCGAAAGCCGGGGUAGCAAAAGGGAUUAGAUACCCCUGUAGUCCCGGCUGUAAACGAUGCGGGCUAGGUGUCGCGUGGGCUUUGAGCCCACGCGGUGCCGCAGGAAAACUGGUAAGCCCGCCGCCUGGGGAGUACGGCCGCAAGGCUGAAACUUAAAGGAAUUGGCGGGGGAGCACCACAAGGGGUGGAACCUGCGGCUCAAUUGGAGUCAACGCCUGGAAUCUCACCGGGGGAGACCGCAGGAUGACGGCCAGGCUAACGACCUUGCCAGACUCGCGGAGAGGAGGUGCAUGGCCGUCGCCAGCUCGUGUUGUGAAAUGUCCGGUUAAGUCCGGCAACGAGCGAGACCCCCACUUCUAGUUGGUAGCCGUCCCUCCGGGGAUGGCCCACACUAGAAGGACUGCCGGUGUUAAACCGGAGGAAGGAGGGGGCCACGGCAGGUCAGCAUGCCCCGAAACCUCCGGGCCGCACGCGGGUUACAAUGGCAGGGACAGCGGGAUCCGACCCCGAAAGGGGAAGGCAAUCCCACAAACCCUGCCUCAGUUGGGAUCGAGGGCUGAAACUCGCCCUCGUGAACGAGGAAUCCCUAGUAACCGCGGGUCAACAACCCGCGGUGAAUACGUCCCUGCUCCUUGCACACACCGCCCAAG
rnacentral:rRNA from 1 species